CCUACGGGAGGCAGCAGUGAGGAAUAUUGGUCAAUGGACGAGAGUCUGAACCAGCCAAGUAGCGUGAAGGAUGACUGCCCUAUGGGUUGUAAACUUCUUUUAUAUGGGAAUAAAAUGUUCCACGUGUGGGUUUUUGUAUGUACCCUAUGAAUAAGGAUCGGCUAACUCCGUGCCAGCAGCCGCGGUAAUACGGAGGAUCCGAGCGUUAUCCGGAUUUAUUGGGUUUAAAGGGUGCGUAGGUGGUUUGUUAAGUCAGGUGUGAAAGUUUGCGGCUCAACCGUAAAAUUGCAGUUGAAACUGGAAGUCUGGAGUGCAGUAGAGGUAGGCGGAAUGCGUGGUGUAGCGGUGAAAUGCUUAGAUAUCACGAAGAACUCCGAUUGCGAAGGCAGCUCACUGGACUGCAACUGACACUGAGGCUCGAAAGUGUGGGUAUCAAACAGGAUUAGAUACCCGUGUAGUC
rnacentral:rRNA from 1 species